rnacentral:lncRNA from 1 species
GCUAGGGUUCCCAGGGCCACACCGCCGGCGAUUAUCCGAUAGCUCCUGGAGCAAGACCUAAUAACCACUGCAGAUCUUAGCCUUUGAGCUAAGAACAUUAUUUUCAACUUCUGAAAGGAUUGCUUUAGCAGGACUUGGCAUGCACACUGUUAAUCCCUUGUGAGGCAGGGACAGGCAGAUAGACCUCUGUGAGUUUAAAGGCCAGCCUGAUCUACAUAGGAAAUUUCCAGCUACUACCAUCUCAAGAAAAAAAAAAAAAAAAGUAAUCCCAGCAUGGGGAGGCUGAGGCAAAAGCAUAAAGAUUUCAAGGCAGGUUGCAAUCUAAUUCCUACCAAGAAAAACAAAAAACAGAGACUUCCUGGCCUUAUAAGAUCUGAAAUAUUUACAAAUGUCCCUUUAUAGAAAAAUUUGCUGGCUGUUGUUGUAUUGGCUUCCUGUUACUACAACAAAUUCUGAGAUAAUCAGCUUACAAAGAGAAAAGGUUACCUUUAUCACGGUUUCAGAGGUGUCCUUCAGAGGUGUUUUUGGGCCCUGUUUAGGUCCAGUGCUGAGACAGCACAGUAUGGCAAGAACCAGGGCGAGCACAGAACCACUGCUUCUCAGCCAAGAGCAAGGGGUGGGGGCACACUCCCCUUCAAGGGCACACCCUAGUGACCUGAGAACAUCCUGCUUAAGCCCCAUCUCACAGUUCCUCUGCCUCCCCUAACACAGAGUCAGGGGCCUCGUCUCUAACACAGAAGCCCACGGGGACAUUGCCGGUUCAAACUCUGCCUGUGAGAACGAGCUGCUGCUACAAGGGAAACAAGCUGCUGUCCCGAGCUGCUGUUCAGUACCCAGAUGGGAAGUAACCACACAUCAGUCUUGAAACAUCUUGAUAGAAAAAGGAAAACCUAGAGCCACACCCUUCGGGCUGUGCACAUUUCAUACCUAAACCUCUGGCUUUAGCUGAGCUCCCACCUCAGGCAUAGGUGAUGGAGAAGCUGGCAGCUUAAGGCCAGUGUCAUUGGUCUCCGCUUGACCACCUUAAGGUAGGUCACUGUCCAUUGUUACCGACCCCACGCACUGCAGUGUAACCAGCCUUAAGCAGACACUCAUUUUAACUCAGGUCUACAUGGAAUAGUGUUCCUUAUGAGAAGCACGUGUCAGUAAGACACUAAAAAGGCAAAUGUGUUUUCUGAGCUUUAAAAAGCACACCAUCUCCACUCGGGAGUCGUGUGUGAUAGAUAACGUGCAAUGCAGCAAAACUGCCUCUACUUAAAGCAUUUCACAUACUUCAGUGCUCCGUUUUUCUCCAGUGUUGAGUUUCCCUCUAGGUCGGUGGUUCUCAACCUUCCUGAUGCUGCGACCCUUGAUACAGUUCCUCAUGUGGUGAACCCCACCCCCAACCAGAAAAGUCAUUUUUGUUAUGGUUUCAUAACUGUAAUUUUGCUACUGUUAUGUGCCAUAAUGUAAAUAUCUGAUAUGGAUAUAGUCUUAGGCGACCCCUAUGGAAAGGUCAUUCACCCCUCCAAGGGGGUCGGGACCACAGGUUGAGAAACACAGCUCUGCGUGAUACGCAGUGUGAACAGCCUGGGAGAAUGCUGUGUGCCUGAGAUGUUUUACAGUUAGGGAUUACAAAUCUAAGGGAGUACCUUUAAAUUUUGUUUGUUUGUUUGUUUGUUUUUAAGUGAUAGAUGUCUUUUAAACUAAGUAAUGUUUUGGGAAGCACCCGUGUGUCUACUUUCCAGGUUAGGCAGGCUGCUGUCACACAUUUAGGCAUGGAUGGAUGCUGAAAAUAACUGUCAUCCAGGGAACCAGAGCCCCUGUGUGCUUUUCUCCUUGCGAUUUAAAUAGACUCCGCUGCGAAUUCUGAAUCUUGUUAGAAUGACUGGCUGAAUUCGAGUCUAAAUUCAGCAAACUAAGCUGCGUCUACACGCUUUGGUUUUGUUAUGUUGAGCUUGCAGCAAGAAAAGACUGAGGGCUGUGGGCACCAAGUCCGACCGAUAGCACAGAAACCAGGAGCUUCCCUGGGAACAGGACUUAACCAGCUCGCACUGUUAGGCCUCUAGGGGCCUAACCGAGGCAGCUGCUUAUAAGGUCACUGUGGUCUGGAGGGGGCUCAAGGGGUGAAGCUCUUGCCGUGCAGGCGCGAGGAGCUGAGUUUGAAACCCAGAACCCAUGUGAAAAGCCACCCGCUGUGGCACAUGCUUGUACUCCUAGCACAGCCUGCAGAGACAGGGGGAUCCCUGGGCCAGCCAGCCGAGAUUCCACCUCAAAAACCAAGCUAGACAGCAUCUGAGGAACUACAUGGGAGUUGAUCCCUGCCCUUCCCACACAUGGCCACAUGUGUGCAUUCACACACAAAAGUAAGGUUUUCAUUUUGAAGUACCUAUUUACAUAUAGAUAAAGAAAUGACUGGGGGCUUGAGAGAUGACUCAGUAGUUAAGAGUGUUAGCUGCUUUUGCAAAGCAUUUUGAGUUCACUUCCCAGCACCCACAAUUGUCUAUAACUCCAGGCAAUCUCAUGCCCUCCUAUGACCUUCAUGGGCACUGCACAUGUGUGACAAUGUGGCACGCACACACACACGUAGACAAAAAGUUCUUAAUUUUAAAAAGAUUUAUUUUAUAUAUGUGAGUAUACAGUCACUGUCUUCAAACACACCAGAAGACACAUCAAAUCCCAUUACAGAUAGUUUUGAACUAACAUGUGGUUGCUGGGAAUUGAACUCAGGAUCUCUGGAAGAGCAGUCAGUGCUCUUAACUGCUGAGCCAUCUUUCCAGCCUCCAUAGGUUUUUGUUUUUUUUUAAUAAUUGUAUUGUCAAUGAAAAUCAAAAUGAAAUAGCAUUGGUUUGAGCACUUAACAUGGCAUUGGGAGGCCAUGGUUCACCAGAUCUUAGCCACUUGAGAGUGAACCUUUGAACUGAGCAACAGUUAUCUGAAACAUGGUUAACUUGGGCUGGCCAAUACAACAGACUUCUUCCACCAAACUGCAUGGACACCAAGUUAGCCCCCAAAACCUUUUCUGCAAGACAGCUUGGCUUUUUCCAGAAUCAAUCAUAAUUUUUAACAAGUAGUGUGGUUUCCAGUUUUCCUGUCAGCAAAGCUAUCCAUACAGCCACCAUUUUGGAAAGUCUCAGAUCCAGUUUUCAAGACUGUCUUUCAGGUUGCAAGCCUGACUAGCCUCAAAUUAAUUUUUUAAUUUGUUCUUGACUGGGUUGAUUUUGUUCUCGGUCACUCUCCAUAGAUAGUAACAGUAAAUACCUUUCUGGCUCCUUGUUUGGAGCCAACUUUCACCAUAUUCUUUCUAAGAAAUUCCCAGUGGGCUCUUGCUGUUCCCUUGGGUUUUCCAGUGGCAAUAUGAAUUCCACCUUAAUCCAGUCUGAAGUUCUAAGUGUUCUGGUGUGUUUUCUGUUGCUGUGAAAGACACGAUGACCAAAAGCAACUUUGGAGAUUAAAGAAUUUAUUUUAGCGUACACCUCCAGGUCACAGUCCACCUCUGCGGGAAGUCAGGGCAAGAACUGAAGCAGAACCGUUGGGGAAAUGCUGCUUACUGACUGACUUGCUCCCUGGCUCACGCUCGGCUGGCUUUUGCAUGCAGCCCAGAACCACCUGCCCAGAGAUGGUGCGACUCGCCUUCCACAGUAAGACAAUCGCUCUUUCAAAGACAGGGCCACAGGGCAAUCUAAUCAAGAUGAUUCUUUCAUAGCAAUUCUCUCAUCCCAAGUGACAAGAAAAGCUUAACAGGGCACUAAGCUUAAAGGCUUUACUUUUAGAAAAUUUCUAAUCUCAUUACUAUUACUAACAUGGAUGUAAAAUACCACUGUGCUGGUUGGUUUGGAUUGUGAGCCCAGCCUUUAACAGUGGAGCCAUCUCUCCAGCCCACUGCUUGAUUUCAAAUCUCAACUUGCCACAACUGAGAAUCACCAAGAGAGAGUAUCAGCUGUGGAAUUGCCUAGAUCAGGCUGGCAUGUCUAUGGGAGUUUAUCUUGACUGUUAGUUGAUGUAGUGACAUCCAGCCCACUAUGAGUAGCACCAUUCCCUAGGUUUGGCUCUAAUGCAGU